rnacentral:ribozyme from 1 species
UUUUUUUUUUUUUUUUUUUUUUUUUUC